CUACGGGCGGCAGCAGUGGGGAAUAUUGGACAAUGGACCAAGAGUCUGAUCCAGCAAUUCUGUGUGUUUGAUGAAGGCCUUCGGGUUGUAAAGAACUUUAAGUAGGGAAGAAGAAAGUGACGGUACCUACAGAAUAAGCGACGGCUAAAUACGUGCCAGCAGCCGCGGUAAUACGUAUGUCGCAAGCGUUAUCCGGAAUUAUUGGGCAUAAAGCGCGUCUAGGCGGUUUAUUAAGUCUGAUGUGAAAAUGCGGGGCUCAACUCCGUAUUGCGUUGGAAACUGGUAGACUAGAGUAUUGGAGAGGUAGGCGGAACUACAAGUGUAGAGGUGAAAUUCGUAGAUAUUUGUAGGAAUGCCAAUUGGGAAGCCAGCUUACUGGACAAAUACUGACGCUGAAGCGCGAAAGCUAGGGGAGCAAACAGGAUUAGAUACCCUUGUAGUC
rnacentral:rRNA from 1 species